ACUGGAGGACCCAAGAAGGCUGAGUGUGAUGAAGCAAGACAUUGCUGAUGCUCUCCUCCUAGACGAGGGGUGGCAACAGCAGUCUUCGCUCAUGAAAACCACAGAGUGGCCUCUACUGUUCAGCAGUU